ensembl:lincRNA 4930431L21Rik uncharacterized LOC110290698
AGGCCAGGAGUUCUCACUGAACAUGGAAGGAUUUGUCUUGUUGGAUUUCCCCUUCCGGUCCGUGUGAACCAGAGGCAGUAGGCAAACUGGCCAGGAGAGUUAUUUUGAAUGUGGGGGUCAGAGGAUGCUGAAGAGCAGUUUUGUCCAAAAAGAACAUCAUCUCCAGCGGAGAAAGGGUGGCCCUGAGCCUCAGGA